rnacentral:rRNA from 1 species
GAUGAACACUGGCGGCGUGCCUAAUACAUGCAAGUCGAGCGAACAGACGAGGAGCUUGCUCCUCUGACGUUAGCGGCGGACGGGUGAGUAACACGUGGAUAACCUACCUAUAAGACUGGGAUAACUUCGGGAAACCGGAGCUAAUACCGGAUAAUAUAUUGAACCGCAUGGUUCAAUAGCGAAAGACGGUUUUGCUGUCACUUAUAAAUGGAUCCGCGCCGCAUUAGCUAGUUGGUAAGGUAACGGCUUACCAAGGCAACGAUGCGUAGCCGACCUGAGAGGGUGAUCGGCCACACUGGAACUGAGACACGGUCCAGACUCCUACGGGAGGCAGCAGUAGGGAAUCUUCCGCAAUGGGCGAAAGCCUGACGGAGCAACGCCGCGUGAGUGAUGAAGGUCUUCGGAUCGUAAAACUCUGUUAUUAGGGAAGAACAAAUGUGUAAGUAACUAUGCACGUCUUGACGGUACCUAAUCAGAAAGCCACGGCUAACUACGU